rnacentral:lncRNA from 1 species
CUUGAUAGGCUUUAUUUGUUCUUGGUAUUAUCAUGGUCCUUUGUCAUUACAUCUAGGCGAGAGCUUCAAGCACACUGAGUUUUGUGAUUGCCAUUGCCAACUGGUGCAGAGUCGACAUGCUCCAUGAAAUCUUGAUAAUUUACUAGAGGUCUUAGAUUUCUGAAUAUAUGUUAUCAUUCUUCUACCAGUUUUAGUGGUAUUUGAUGUUGAGUUAGUUUUCUUUUUCUGUCAGAAACCAGGUCUUGGCAAUAUCUCCCUGCUCACAUUGUUUAAAAUAUCGGACACAUACUUAGUAAACACGGAAUGUUACCCAUGACUCAUUUAUUGUGCCAAGUUGCUGAUCCCUACAUAAUAGAUCUGUAUUUUAGUUUUUGUGUAUCUAUUCUUGCCGCUUUUGCAUCCAGCAAUCGAAGGCAGUUGUGCCUCAAAUGUGGCUGCUUUGUAAGUUG